rnacentral:rRNA from 1 species
AGGAAAAAGUGACUGGUGGGUAGUUUAACUGGGACGGUUUCCUUUAAUAUAGUAUCAAAGGACUUCAAAGGUAUGUUUACAUUAGAUGGAAACUAAUUGGCUAUGUAGAGCUAAAUGAAGUGUAAAGGCAUAAACAUGCUUGACUGUUAGACUUAUAAGUCGCGCAGGUACGCAAGUAGGACUUAGUGAUCCGG